CCAUAACUGACAGCGGUAUUUCCUGUUGGGGUGGUUGCACCACACAGACCAGUAACUUUGCUUGUUCCUCUGAAGCACACAGUAUAGGUUAAGAUCUGGGUUGAAAGAGAACAUAGAAAAUUUCACUCAAGACAAGAGUUAACAAGAUGCUGGUUCUAAGCCUUCUGGGAGCAGCUUUCAGCUCCAUUUGCCUUGGUAAGGAUGUUUCCCAGCAUAGGGUCAGACCCUUAUUCCUGAAGGUCACUGGGAGAGGUUAUUGUUCUCUGCUGAGGCUCAAAAGAGAGAGAUCAUUGGAACUCUGGCUCAUAAGCUACUUCAUCCUUUGGACUCUCGCUGUUGUAGUUAAAGAGGCUGAUAUCUCUGUGUUUUGUCCUUUAGCAACCAGCAUGGCCCAGAAGGUAGUGCAAACUCAGGCUUCAAUUUCUGUGAUGGAGACGAAAACUGUGGCAAUGGACUGUGUGUACGAAACCCGGGACAGUUCUUACUACUUAUUCUGGUACAAGCAAACGGCAAGUGGGGAAAUGGUUUUCCUUAUUCGUCAGGAUUCUUACAACAAGGAAAAUGCAACAGAGGGUCGUUAUUCUCUGAACUUCCAGAUGUCAAAAAGUUCCAUUGGACUCAUCAUCAGAGCCACGCAGAUUGAGGAUUCAGCAGUAUAUUUCUGUGCUAUGAGUGAGGGCACAGUGGCAGAGGCAUCUAAAAGAGCCCCACAAAAACCUCAACCAGAGACAAAGGUUCUGAGAAUAUACUCCACAGACAGGAAGAGGCAAGGACUAUGGUAGCACAGGAAAGGGUUUGGCAAUAAACUUUAGUACAAUUCAUGUGAGAUGUCCAUUUUAAAUCAGUUACCUGAGGUAUCCAUGUUCAGGGCUAGCACAGGUCGGCACUAAGUCCUCUGCAUCUAUCAUGGCUUCCAAUUGAGUGGUUUUGUGGGAUCCUAAGUGUUCAAACAAGUGGGUUUCUGAUUCUUGUGCCUUCCCUUGAAUUCUUUUCUUUCUCUUGGUUUGUCUUGUUCAAUUUUGAUGUGAUAGACUUUAUUUUAUCAUUAUGUUAUAUAUUAUUUUUUAAGUUUUGUUGUUUUUUUCUCUAAUAUUUUCUAAUGAAAGGCAGAACAUGAGUAGACCGAGAUGGGAAGGUCAGUGGGGAGGAACUUGGAGCCAGAUGCAGUAGUGAAUGUCUGUAGUCCCAGAGCUCAGAGGACCACAUGACUGAGCUGGGCCCUCCCACACCAAUCUUCAACCAAGCACAUGGCCUAAAGACUCACUACAGAUCAAACUAUGGAGGGGUGAAGGGGCAGCAAGUGCAGCAGAGUCCUGUGU
rnacentral:sRNA from 1 species